rnacentral:rRNA from 1 species
UACGUAGGUGGCAAGCGUUGUCCGGAAUUAUUGGGCGUAAAGCGCGCGCAGGCGGUCCUUUAAGUCUGAUGUGAAAGCCCACGGCUCAACCGUGGAGGGUCAUUGGAAACUGGGGGACUUGAGUGCAGAAGAGGAAAGCGGAAUUCCACGUGUAGCGGUGAAAUGCGUAGAUAUCUGGAGGAACACCAGUGGCGAAAGCGCGUGACUGGGCCACAACUGACGCUGAGGAACGAAAGCCAGGGGAGCGAAAGGG